AGAAACUUAGGAUAUCCAAGUCCCAGGGCCUUCAAAGCCCCUAGCAGGAGUUAAAGUCUCCUAGUUUCUG
rnacentral:tRNA from 1 species